AUCGCCAGCUCGCUGCCGGCGUUACAUAGGAAGGAGUUGGUCCGGCCCGGGUGGUCCACGUCGUGAACCGUGGCUGCGAUCAGAGCUGCUACCUCGUCCAGCUGGUCCAGACUGCUCUGAAACCAGCAGAGACAGAGUGACGAAGUAGGCAGUGGCGUGCAGCACGUCUGCGGCGUGCGUGGAGUUGUGAUAGGAGUUGGAGGCGUGGUAGCUCGCCUCCAUGAGCUGCAGCCAGGAGCGCAGCGUGGCCUCCGAGCAGUUCAGGAACUCGCACACGCCGAAACUGGUGAAGAUCUUCAGCCCGAGCUCCAGGAUGUUGAACUCCCAGCACUCCUCAUCAUUCAGCAUCUCAGCGAUGGACGGGGGGACGUCAUUCAGGGUGACUGGGAUAGCCAGCUGGCUCUGACUCAUAUCUAGCGGACAGACAGAAGAGUGCAGCGCUGAAGAAGACAUAUUCAUUCCCAGAGAGUCUCCGCAGGCCGUCCUGGAGAGAAGAAACAAAGAAGGAAACAAAGAAGGGGGUUAAUCAAGUGCAGAAGAACAGUAAGUGGCCUACACAUGUUCAUCAUGACGGCGGGCAUGAGCAGACAAGGCACAGCUGGAGAAUUAUCAGAUGAUAUUAUUGACAAAAGACAGUUUUUAUUUUGAUCGGUUUAUGAACCUUUUUUUUGACACAGAGGAGGAGGAUAAAUCAGGUGUUUGAUAUGAAGGAAGGUUUUCAGUCUUUUUUAUGGGACUUUUUAAGACAAGAAUAAAAAAUAUGGCAACAAAAUGAUAAUCUGGUGUACGAAAGUCUUCCUUCUUGGACUGAUUGAUCUGAAAACCUAAAACCAAUUCUGUUUUCAGAGAGUCAAACGUGUGCGUGCAGUGAUUCACCUCAUAGUUUUACUCAAUCAACGAAUCAAAAUAUUAAAAAAUAAACACCGACUCUGCUGGAUCUGAUUCUGGAGGCCAAAACAUUCUUGGUUCAAUAAAAAAUGCAUGUUCAGUUUCAUUUGCAUGAGGUAACAACAUUUUUACAACGUGAUGGGAGAAAGACUAUUUCUGACCUUUCCUUAUAAAGAGCUUUUAAACAU